rnacentral:lncRNA from 1 species
ACGGCGAGGAUGCGAAUGACCGAGGAAGCAGGCCGCUAGCGAAGAAGGGAAUGACGCCACGACCAAUAAACAAGGAAAAUGGGACGCGGGGAAGGUAUCUUAGGUGGUGCUGAGCCUCUAGGGGAGAUCUAGGCAGGAUGGGAGUGAUCAUGGUUCCCAAAAUUUAGAGAGAGCCAACGGGAGAGCUUUGUCCAUGGGAAAUGAAGUAGCGCAUGAGAGGACAAAUUGAGGAGCUCGGGAGAUCUUCUGGAGGGUGAGAGAGAGAUCAGGGGCAAUGGGGAGGCUGCGGGUGGCCUUAUAUUGCGAGCUCAGGGCUCACCAUGGACACGAAGCAAGGCAAUGUCGAGGGCGAGGACAUCGGUCGUGGGAGCGGCCCAGACUAUGUCUUUGGCGUUCAUGGACGCGGUCCUAGACCAGGGAAGGAAA